GGUCAAGUUUAGUAAGGGCGUAUGGGGGAUGUCUUGGCGUUAGAAGGCGAUGAAGAGCGUGGAAGUCUGCGAAAAGUCUGGGGGAGCUGACAAACAAGUGACGAUCCCGGAAUACUCGAAUUAACGAAAACUGAAUUCAUAGGUUUUCGUGGCAAACCCGGUGAACUGAAACAUCUAAGUAACCGGCGGAAUAGAAAGAAAAAUCGAUUCCCUUAGUAGCGGCGAGCGAAGGGGGAACAGCCCAAACCAUGAAGGUUUCCUUCGUGGGGUUGUAGGGUCUUUCAUUGGAGUUACCAAGUGAUUCGUUAACAGAACGGUAUGGAAAGGCCGGCCACAGAGGGUGAAAGCCCCGUAAGUGAAAACGAGAUCACCUCUAGAAGGAUACCUGAGUAGGUCGAGGCACGUGAAACCUCGACUGAAUCUACGGGGACCAUCCCGUAAGGCUAAAUACUCUCUAACGACCGAUAGUGAAUUAAGUAGCGCGAGCGAAAGAUGGGAAGAACCCCGGCUAGGGGAGGACACUGAACCUGAAACCGUACGCUUACAAGCGGUCGGAGCACUAUUUAAAGUGUGACGGCGUGCCUUUUGCAUAAUGAUCCGGCGAGUUACCGUUUGCGGCGGGUUAAGGCCUUAAGGGCUGGAGCCAAAGGGAAACCGAGUCUGAAUAGGGCGUAAUGUCGUGGGCGGUAGACGCGAAACUGUGUGAUCUACCCAUGGGCAGGUUGAAGCGCGGGUUAAACUGCGUGGAGGACCGAACUCACUUGGGUUGAAAACCGAGGGGAUGACCUGUGGGGAGGAGUGAAAGUCUAAUCAAACACAGAGAUAGCUCGUUCUCUCCGAAACAUCUUGAGGGGUAGCCUCAGGCAACUAUGCAACGGGGGUAGAGAGACUGAAUCGGACGGGGGCCCAUUCCAGGGUACCCCACUGAACCAAACUCCGAAUACCGUUGUAACUAUCCUGGGAGUCAGUCUGCGGGGGAUAAGCUCCGUGGUCAAAAGGGAAACAACCCAGAUCGUCGGCUAAGGUCCCCAAAUAAUGCUUAGUCAAUAAGAAAGUUGAAUUGCUGAGACAGCCAGGAUGUUGGCUUAGAAGCAGCCACCAUUUAAAAAGUGCGUAACAGCUUACUGGUCGAGCAGUUCUGCGUCGAUAAUGAACGGGAGUAAAGCAUUAUACCGAAGCCGCGGGCUCAGUAAUGAGCGGUAGGAGAGCGCUGUAUGGCAGAUACAAGCAGUACCGAAAGGAGCUGUGCUGGGCCAUACAGGUGAUUAUGCCGGAAUGAGUAGACGAUAAAGCAGGUGAGAAUCCUGCUCGCCGAAAGCCUAAGGUUUCCUGGGGAAGGUAAUUCCGCCCAGGGUUAGCCGGUACCUUAGUCGAGGCCGAAAGGCGUAGACGAUGGAUAGCAGGUUAAUAUUCCUGCGCCAUGUAUGUGGAGCGAUGGAGGGACGGCAUCCGAAAGACAUGCGGACGACUAGAAAUGUCCGUUGCUUCGGACCAAGAAUGGAGGUUGGGAAAUCCGCCUCAAUAGGUUCAAGGUCCGGAGCUAACAGCGUUUAAGAUCUGGAUGAUGUUGGAAGGAUGUCCUAGAAAAGCUUCUAAGCUUUGAAGCAUACGUGACCGUACUAAAACUGACACAGGUAGGUGAGAUGAGUAAUCUAAGGCGCUCGGGAGAACGGUGUUUAAGGAACUCUGCAAAAUGGCCCCGUACGUUCGCAAUAAGGGGCGCCCACGCAAGUGGGCCACAGAAAAUCGGCACUAGCGACUGUUUAUCAAAAACACAGGACUCUGCGAACUCGUAAGAGGAUGUAUAGAGUCUGACGCCUGCCCGGUGCUGGUAGGUUAAGGAAGAGGGUUAGCGAAAGCGAAGCUCGCGACCGAAGCCCCAGUAAACGGCGGCCCUAACUAUGAGGGUCCUAAGGUAGCGAAGUUCCUUGUCGGGUAAGUUCCGACCUGCAUGAAAGGCGUAACGACUGGUGCACUGUCUCAAACACCGACCCGGUGAAAUUGUAGUCGUGGUGAAGAUGCCACGUACCCGCGGUUAGACGGAAAGACCCCAUGAACCUUUACUGUAGGCUGAUAUUGGGUUGAGAUAUGUUCUGUGCAGAAUAGCUGGGAGGCUGUGAAUCGGGUGCGCAAGCACUCGAGGAGCCAUCGUUGAGAUACCAGCCUGGAUAUAUUUUAAUUCUAACCCCAUGCUAUGAAUCUAGGUGGGGGACAUUGUCAGUUGGGCAGUUUGACUGGGGCGGUCUCCUCCCAAAGAGUAACGGAGGAGCUCAAAGGUGCCCUCAGCCUGGUCGGCAAUCAGGCAACGAGCGUAAAGGUAGAAGGGCGCUUAACUGCGAGUCAUUUAAGACGAGCAGAUACGAAAGUAGGACUUAGUGAUCCGGUGAUUCCGAAUGGAAGGGUCAUCGCUCAUCAGAUAAAAGGUACUCUGGGGAUAACAGGCUUAUCGCCACCGAGCGUCCACAGCGGCGUGGCGGUUUGGCACCUCGAUGUCGGCUCAUCACAUCCUGGGGGUGAAGAAGCUCCCAAGGGUUUGGCUGUUCGCCAAUUAAAGUGGUACGUGAGCUGGGUUUAAACCGUCGUGAGACAGGUUGGUCCCUAUCUACUGUGGGCGUACGAAACUUGAGGAUUUUUCUCUUUAGUACGAGAGGAUUUGGAGGGACGCACCUCUGGUGUUCCUGUUGUCACGCUCGUGGCAGCGCAGGGUAGCUAAGUGCGGCGUGGAUAAGUGCUGAAAGCAUAUAAGCACGAAGCCGUCUCCAAGAUUAGGUUUCGUUUGAGUCCCCUGAAAGACGAUCAGGUUGAUAGGUCGGCGAUGUAAGGCGAGUAAUCGUUUGAGUUGACCGAUACUAACGGACGAACGCUUGGCCUG
rnacentral:rRNA from 1 species